UAAAACACACACAAACACAAGUCUCUUUAAACACUUAUAAGUAGACUGUUUCUUUUUUAAGUAUGGCAUCAGUGAAGGAAGAGAAACCAGUGGAGAGCCAACCUCAGGGUCAGGGCAUGCCAAGAAGGAGGGUUCUUCCGCUCCAAAGGCUGGUUCUGGUUCCAAAGGCCCUUCUUCCAAACUAGCCCCAAAGAAAACUCCCCAGAAAUCUCAAGACUCUAAGAAGAAGGGAAAGGGAAGCAAAGGAGGAGCAGGAUCAGCAAAGCACUGACCAAUAUAAAGGUGUGGCCAAGAAUUAGAAAGAGAAAUGCCCACAUUAUUACCAAUAGUUAUGCUUCUUAGUAUAUUAUUUUCUAGUAGUACCCAAGGGCUAGGUGACCCUAUAUAUAUGUAUGCCCUUUAAUUAUGCAUGUAAAUGAUCAGCUUCCUACGCUUUGAUCAAAUCCAAAAAUAAUAUCUUUGUUUCACAUGAUCA